AGCAGCCGCGGUAAUUCCAGCUCCAAUAGCGUAUAUUAAAGUUGUUGCAGUUAAAAAGCUCGUAGUUGAAUUUCGGGAUUGACGUGAUGGUCGUGCCUUACGGGGUAUGAACUGUUGCUGUUGAUUUCUCACCUUCUGGAGAAACUUGAUGUCCUUAAUUGGGUGUCUUGCGGAUCCAGGACCUUUACCUUGAAAAAAUUUAGAGUGUUUAAAGCAGGCAUUUUGCUCGAAUACAUUAGCAUGGAAUAAUAGAAUAGGACGGCAUGGUUCUAUUUUGUUGGUUUCUAGGAUCACCGUAAUGAUUAAUAGGGAUAGUUGGGGGCAUUAGUAUUCAAUUGUCAGAGGUGAAAUUCUUGGAUUUAUUGAAGACUAACUACUGCGAAAGCAUUUGCCAAGGAUGUUUUCAUUAAUCAAGAACGAAAGUUAGGGGAUCGAAGACGAUCAGAUACCGUCGUAGUCUUAACCAUAAACUAUGCCGACUAGGAAUCAGACGAUGUUAAUUUUUUAAUGACUCGUUUGG
rnacentral:misc_RNA from 1 species